AAGUCGUAACAAGGUUUCCGUAGGUGAACCUGCGGAAGGAUCAUUAUCGUGGGGCUUCGGCCCCGUCGAGAUAGCACCCUUGCCUUUAUGAGUACCUUGGUUCCCUCCCCCGUACCCUCGGGGAGCGGGAGGGACCUCGUCUGUUUCCCCAUCGGUAACCCCGCGGGGACACGAAACACGCUGUAAGCACCUGUAACAGUCUGAUAAACAAACAAAAAAUCAAAACUUUCAACAACGGAUCUCUUGGUUCUG
rnacentral:misc_RNA from 1 species